ensembl:lncRNA
CUGCCUCUGAUCUCCAAACUACAAUCCUCCUUCAACUACAAGAACUAUAACUACUACAGCUCCACUCAAACAACGGUAGAGCUACGAACACCUGGACCACUACCACGACGACUACAACUGCAUACAGGAACUACAAAUGGGCCUCGAUACUACUAGGAAACUACAAUGAUACUCACACAUAGACUACAACUUAAAUAACUGCUCAACUUCAACUCCAGCUGCAGUCCGGUGAAUACAGCCUCGAUGAGCCGGAGCAGAGAGGACCAUACUACCCUUGUUGCCAUGCCGACCAAGGAAGACCAUCGCUAUGGAAGCAUGGAAUUACAGUCUACGCCAAUAAACUACGACCAUUGAAUACAUGGGUCCCGUGUUGGCAUUACUCCAAUCUGUCUGACGUCAUCAGUAGUCCAACUAGU